UACGAGGGCCCCAAGCGUUAUCCGGAUUUAUUGGGCGUAAAGGGUCCGCAGGCGGUUCAUCGCAUCUCCUGUCAAAUCCUCCCGCUUAACGGGAGAACCGCGGGAGAGAUGGAUGAACUAGAGGCCGGACGAGGCAAGUGGAAUUGCUGGUGUAGGGGUUAAAUCCGUUAAUAUCAGCAGGAACACCGAAUGCGAAAGCAGCUUGCUAGGACGGUCCUGACGCUCAGGGACGAAAGCGUGGGGAG
rnacentral:rRNA from 1 species